rnacentral:rRNA from 1 species
UACGUAGGGCGCAAGCGUUGUCCGGAAUUACUGGGCGUAAAGCGUGCGUAGACGGUUAUUUAAGUCGGGUGUGAAAGCCCCGGGCUCAACCUGGGAAUUGCAUUCGAGACUGAAUAGCUAGGGUACGGUAGAGGGAAGUGGAAUUUCCGGUGUAGCGGUGAAAUGCGUAGAUAUCGGAAGGAACAUCAGUGGCGAAAGCGACUUCCUGGACCAGUACCGACGUUCAGGCACGAAAGCGUGGGGAGCAAACAGG